CGUCAGCGAGCGCACAUGUGCACACGCCGAAUAGCGAGCAUGUACUGAAGUGUAAAUAAAUAACCCGUCAAUAUUAUUUGCACUUUUUCCCGGUUUGCCAGUCGGUCCCGUCGGACAGCAUGGCCUCAGAGGAGGACGACGUGCUGCUGUUUCUAAUCUACCAGCACCUGAAGGUGAACGGCUACCAGAAAGCUGCCCAGGUGCUGGAGAAGCACGUUACCCAGGUGGAGACACCGCUGGAGAGCUCCUCCACCCUACAUGAUAUCUACACAGGCUGGAUGAAACUGUACUCCCUAGCCCAGCAUGCCAAACAGGAGUCGCAAGAGUCCAGUUACUCAAAGAAAAGCAUCAAAGCUGAGGCUGCAGACAGCAGACUCUCCACUGUCCCAGGAGGAGAUGAUGUGGAUUCCAACCCUCCACUCGAGCCCAGGCCUGAUGUUGUUGAGCCACUGAAGGCAGAGAGCAUCUCUGAGAGUGUCUGUGAGCAGCUGCCGGCUGCUGAUAAUAAAUCCCAAACAACAAACUCUGACAGCGAGAGCACCGGCUCCUCUGACAGUGAAGUGGAAGAAGAAAAGAUAAAGGAGGAAGAAACAAAAACAGAGCAAGAGUCGGCUCCAACUAAAGUGUGCGCUGAGGCGUCCAAUGAGGCAGAAAGCCUGAGCUCUGCCUCUUCAGACGCUGAGGAAAUAACUGCACCCAGCCAGGUUAACAACAGCCUGGUGUUAUCUGAUCAGGCUGAGGACCAAUCAGAGGUCCCCGAUCCAGCUGAGGCCUCAGUUUCAGGCGGUGACCUUAAAGACGAGCAUCAAGAGGGCAGUGAUGAUCUGAAGCAGGAAGCAACCACAAACACCUCAGAAGUCAUAGAAGAAGCUUCGGCGUCACAGCAGACAGAUGUUCCCACUCAGGAAGUCAGUGAAGCCGAUUCUCCAGAAGGUGAAGAAGCCACAGCAGGAGAGAUGCCCAGCCUGGUUGAGCCCACCACCUCUGGCUUGACAGCUCUGGAAACCAGUGACCAGCUAGGAGACGGUCAAGCCCCGCCCUCUGGAGACCCUGAUGGUGAAUCUCAAAAUCCAAAAGAGGAGGUGGAGGAUGACGUGGAGGAGACAAAGAAAUCUGAGAUGUCAGAGGUCGUAGCUCUUACAUCGGAGCUGGAGGGAGACACAGAGAUGUUGAAAAUCCCCGUGGACACUGGGAUCCACAGUGAUCUCUCAGCCACUCCAACUGGUAUCAAAGUCAUGUUGGUUUCAGAAGAGCGAUCGGACCCAGAGGCCUCCAUCAUCAUCAACAUCACAGUCAAAGAUGACGAAGCAGCUGAGCGAGAGACCGGCCAGCUGUCCCCUGAGGAGACUGCCGAGUCCUGUAAAGACCGCAGCAUUCCCAGGAAAAAGAAAAGGAAGAGCAAACAGGAUUUUGAGACGUCAACAGCAGACACAUCGAUCACGGACACACCCAGCAGCACUGAUGCAUCCACCCCGGAUCCACUUGCUGACACUCCUCUUCCUAGGAAGUCUGCCAAAAAGAAAAAGAGAGACAAAAAGAUACAAGAAGAGGAGGUGACAGAGGAUGGCGGAGAUCAGGAGAAUGAGGAUGAGGCGUCUCAGUUAGCUCCACCAGACAAGAAAAAGAAGGCUAAGAAGAGGAAAAGGGAAAGAGACGAAGAAGAAGAGAAGGAAGAGGAAACUCACACUGUCACUGAAAACAAAAUUAAAAAGAAGAAGAAGAAGAAGAAGAAGGCUAAAGAUGUGGAAGAGGAGGAGUGUGAGGCAGGAGGAGCAGUAGAGGAGAAGGCUGAGAAUCCUGCGAGUCUGACAGAGACAACGGAGGAGAAAAAGAAGAAGAAAAAGAGGAAAAAGGAAGGAGGUCAGGAGAACGAGGCAGUGCAAUCUGAAGAAAAACCAGCAGGGGGCAGUAAUGGCACAGAGGAGAAAAUGGAAGCCACAGAGGGAAAGACUUCUUUGGACUCCUCGGCCAAAAAGAAAAAGCGUCUCAGGAAGAAGCUCAGCCUGAAGAGGAGAUUAAAACUUCAUAAGAAGGAGAUGAUGGCGAUGAGGUUGAAGAGCAACAAGUUACCUGCAGAUCAGAACCACGUGAGGAGGAAGAAACAGAGACACAUAGAAGAAGAAACAGAGGAAGUGCUUCACCCAAAGCCAAGCAAAAGACCCAAAGUUGAGCCCAUUCAGGAGGACGAAACGCCAAAGAAGAAGAAAAAGAUGAAAAAACAUGCUGACCUAGAAGAAAAUUCGUCAAAGGAAAACCAACCUCCCAAGGCAAAGAAGGAGAAGAAGAGGGAGCUGCAGGCUGAGGAUCAGAGCGGUGUGGUAGAUGACCAGAGUGCUGCGAUUCUUGAUGAUGCCGAUACGUCGGCGCCUUCAAACGGAGGGAAGAAGAAAAAGAAAAAGAAGGCAGUUAAAUGCGAGGAAGCUGCAGAAAAUUCAGCUGUAACUGUGAGCCAAGAUGUGCCUGCUAAGAAAACAAAGAAGAGCAGACUACAGGAGAAACUAGAGGCGGAGCCUGCUGCAGACACACACACUCCUCCAGCUGUUUCUGGGAUCUGUGAAGAAGUGUUGGCACUCAUCUAGCUGCGAGGCAUUUUAAAAAAAAGAAAAAACCUUCCAAGAAGAAGACAAACUGAUUUAAAUUUGGGGCGUACUCAGGAGGAUGACUGCAACUUGGCCCUGAAAGCCUAAAAAUGUCAGCGUCUUUUCUCCCGAUUAUUCUGUCUGAGAUUCAUUUUUCCACGAGAAACAGAUUUCUGAGAGGUGCUGAGAGUAACUUCGCACUACCCUUUGUUCCUAAACUGUGAAUUUAGCACAAUACACACCCUAAAUCCCCCUUUAUUUAGCAGAUUCGGCUUUAAAGCUUUGUUGGAGGCAGACCUGCUCUGCCAGGAACAAAAAAAGCAUAGUAAUUAGUCAAAUUAUGACUUUAUUAUGCAUUUCAUUCAGCGCAGCCUUUUUAACUGGAAGCUUUUCCCAUUAAAGUCUCAUUAAAGAAAUUAUUUAAAUGAGCUGCCGUUUGAAAGAAUUCACGCAAGUGAAACAUAAAUUUCUAUUUAAAUCAAAGAAUCAGAUUAUUAACAGAAUUGCUAUUAAUUUUUUUUAAUCACAGUUUAUCUGUUUAAUCAUUUGGAGUAAAAUGGCCCUCGAGUUAGUCAGCUUGCAGUUAGUUUAAAACUGAGAGAAGAUGGGAUCUGAGGAUGUUUGGAGGCUGUGAAAGAUGAUUAAUACGUUUCGACUGCAGCUCCGUCUUUAAGUUUCAAAGCUGCAGUCUGCAUCUCCUCAGCACUGAUAAAAACUUAUGAAGGGGGAACUUUCACAGUCGUGUCUUCUUACAGUCAGAGGGGCUCACUAAACCUCCACAUCUUUGAGUUUGAGUUAGAAAUAAGCUAAUAAGGUGGGUUGAUUUUCUUUUUUGUCAGUUCUUUUCUUUUUAUGUGAACUGAUUGAUAAACCAGCAUUUGUGUUUGUUUGAGGUAGAAUAUGUAGUUUUGUUCUGAUGUGCAUAUGAUGCGAACUUUAUCGGCCAUCAGCUAUGCAACUGAUUAAAUCCCGCUGCUGUUGUUUGAGGAAUCUUUGUGCAACUUUAACUGCUUAAAUUUGCUGUUUCUAACGAUGAGCACGUUUCGAGGAUGCCGGUCGUUAAUAGCUUUAAUUCUGCAGCGGCAGUCAUUUUCUUUGUUUUCCUUCCCACACUGUUACACGUGCUGUGUUCAUGCCACAUUCACGGUGAAAGUCACACUGGGAAACUGAUCUAACUUGGCAUUAAAUUAUAAAGCAAAUGGCAUCACGUCAACACAGCAGUGUUUGUUUCUUAGGCGAUUAAACCCAAAUGUGAUGCUGUUUAUAAGGUUUGUGCUGUCAAAGCUCAGCAGGAAUCAUUUCACCUCUGCAUCCAUCAUUGCUGAUUUAAGUGCUUCUCACGUCUGUUUCACAGUCGAUCGCUUUAACCAAACCCUAAAAACUUCACAUUUUUGGAAGAAAUGUUUUGGUUGUGGUUCAGUUAUUUUGUUUCCAAUUGCAAUUUAUUUUAUUAAAACUAAUAAAGCAGACACCAAAUAAAGCACUCUGAAACUUUGGCUUUAUUUGGUGUCUGAACUUGUGAGCGAAGCAGACUCAGCUUGGAGCCGAUGCCGACAUCGAUUCUGAGAACUAUGAGGAGAAAUUAGGUUUUCCACACUCGGUGUCUGUGUUUACUCGCCGCUGGUGACGCCGUCUUUCUUUCUUUCUUACACAAACAGCCUUUUUCCCUCUGAAACAGAAAUCCAUCAAGUCAAUAGGCGGGGCAGUUUGCGAACGUCACAUGGUGACAUUCGAUAAACCAGAGUUCAAAUCUAAUUUGUCCUGAAUUAGAUUUGAGUGGGGUCAAUUUCACAAAAUCCUGUUGUGAUUUAUGGAUUAUUCCUUGGAAAAUUUUCUCAUAAUUUCCUAAACAUUUGUUGCUGUUUAAAAGAAAAAUAACAGGUAUGCUUUUUU